UACAGAGGGGGCAAGCGUUGUUCGGAAUUACUGGGCGUAAAGGGCGCGUAGGCGGCCCGCUAAGUCGAACGUGAAAUCCCCAGGCUUAACCUGGGAACUGCGUCCGAUACUGGCAGGCUUGAAUCCGGGAGAGGGAUGUGGAAUUCCAGGUGUAGCGGUGAAAUGCGUAGAUAUCUGGAGGAACACCGGUGGCGAAGGCGGCAUCCUGGACCGGCAUUGACGCUGAGGCGCGAAAGCGUGGGGAGCGAACAGG
rnacentral:rRNA from 1 species